AUCUCAUCAUCGACAUCAUCGAAACUCCUUUUGAUGGACCAGAACUCUUCUGAUUCAGACAAUUAGAAUGAUCGAUCAUCAAGAUCAUUCUAAUUACUUCCAAAAUCCAUCAGUGAUACCUAACAGUAUAUGGUGGCAACCCAUCAGAACUGAAGAUGAACCUCUCGGUGCAGCUACCUGUGUGAUUGAGUUCCUCUAUCAUGAGUUUCGACUGAAUUAGGGUUAAGGUGAACUCGUCAAACCCAACAUCAGUCAUAUGAAUCAAUCGAUCGAU
rnacentral:lncRNA from 1 species